GGAGAAGUCGUAACCAAGGUUUCCGUAGACGGUGUUCUCUUCACCAUGCGGAUGUCAGUCUGAAAAGGACUGGCAAGUGGGCUUUGCGCCUGCGAGACUGUCAAAUUGCCGGAAACUCCUGCUAAGUCGCUGGUACCGCCUGGUUUGGGAAACCAAAUCCAGGCACCGGGGGGAAACUCACGGGUAUGGUAACAAUCCAGCGAAUAGGGACAAUCGGCAGCCAAGUCCUGAAGGGUAGAUGCACAUUGUGUCUCCUAUGGAUGCAGUUCAUCGACUAAAUGGCAGUCGGCUGACACAUGAUUGUCGGCUUAAGAUAUAGUCAGGCCCUACCGAGAGGUAGCUGGUAGUGAGGAAUCUUGCCUUAACCGGUGAGAGGAGAGCCUACCAGGGACGGAGUAGUACUUGGAAGCGUAGUGCGACCAAGGGCAAUCAGCCUUCCGUCCGGAGUAACCGAGGUGAACCUGCGGAAGGAUCA
rnacentral:rRNA from 1 species